rnacentral:hammerhead_ribozyme from 1 species
AUCCAGUUGACGAGUCCCAAAUAAUACGAAAUGCACAUCCUGGAU